GGAGUCUUGGCGCAAUGGUAGCGCGUUGGUUUUCGGCCGAAAUGACUCCGGAUGAGAGUCAUCUCCAGUCUGUCCACCAAAGGUUGUGGGUUCGAGCCCCAUGGACUUCG